rnacentral:lncRNA from 10 species
CUAAAGAAACAGGCUCAGAGAAUGUUAUUUGAUUGGACCGUGUUGCAUUUCUGGACAGUGCAGCUGAGAUCAGACUUUGCGUGUAACUCCACUAGCCUACCAGGGUGCCUCUCAUAAAGCAUUCCUUUCAGCUACGAUACAAAAGAAGCAAAUAUUUGCCACUGGAAAAAAUAUUCAAAGACACUCUUAGGUUAAUCUAUAGCUGAUGACAGUCAGUCUAGUCUACAUAGCAAGCAGCUUCAAGAUAUGAUUACUUAGCUAAGCGGGAAAUGGGACGUGACUGCUGCCUCAUUCCCACGCCUCUCUGGACCUGAUAAUUUAGAGGAAGCUCACAUUCGCAAGAUAAAAAUUUUC